rnacentral:rRNA from 1 species
GACGAACGCUGGCGGCGUGCUUAACACAUGCAAGUCGAACGGAAAGGCCCUGCUUUUGUGGGGUGCUCGAGUGGCGAACGGGUGAGUAACACGUGAGUAACCUGCCCUUGACUUUGGGAUAACUUCAGGAAACUGGGGCUAAUACCGGAUAGGAGCUCCUGCUGCAUGGUGGGGGUUGGAAAGUUUCGGCGGUUGGGGAUGGACUCGCGGCUUAUCAGCUUGUUGGUGGGGUAGUGGCUUACCAAGGCUUUGACGGGUAGCCGGCCUGAGAGGGUGACCGGCCACAUGGGGGCUGGGGUGCGGCCAAGACUCCUCCGGGAGGAAGGAGGGGGGAAUUUUGCACAAGGGGGGGAAGCCUGAUGCAGCAACGCCGGGGGGGGGAUGACGGCCUUCGGGUUGAAAACCGCUUUCGCCUGGGACGAAGGGGGAGUGACGGUAAUGGGUAAAGAAGCACCGGCUAAUUACGU